AUUGAACGCUGGCGGCAUGCCUUACACAUGCAAGUCGAACGGUAACAGGUCUUCGGAUGCUGACGAGUGGCGAACGGGUGAGUAAUACAUCGGAACGUGCCUAGUAGUGGGGGAUAACUACUCGAAAGAGUGGCUAAUACCGCAUGAGAUCUACGGAUGAAAGCAGGGGAUCGCAAGACCUUGUGCUACUAGAGCGGCCGAUGGCAGAUUAGGUAGUUGGUGGGAUAAAAGCUUACCAAGCCGACGAUCUGUAGCUGGUCUGAGAGGACGAUCAGCGACACUGGGACUGAGACACGGCCCAGACUCCUACGGGAGGCAGCAGUGGGGAAUUUUGGACAAUGGGCGCAAGCCUGAUCCAGCAAUGCCGCGUGCAGGAUGAAGGCCUUCGGGUUGUAAACUGCUUUUGUACGGAACGAAAAGCCUUGGGUUAAUACCCUGGGGUCAUGACGGUACCGUAAGAAUAAGCACCGGCUAACUACGUGCCAGCAGCCGCAGUAAAAC
rnacentral:rRNA from 1 species